rnacentral:lncRNA from 1 species
AAACAAAGCAGGGCAGGAGGGGAGGGAGAGCAAGAAAGAAGGACUUAAAGUGCCAUCUUAAAUAGCAUGCUAAUUGACCCUCAGAAACUAAAAUCACCUACAAGCACCCAGAGGGGAUCUGGGCUGACCUGUAGCUGACAAUAGAUGAUAUUGGCAAGUUUCCCACAGCCUUAAGUGUGGGUUUUGAACUGGGAUAAAUAUUCAACCUGGACUUGGAAUUGCACACUCAGUAACUGAAGCUGACACUUCCAACACUGUUAGAUGCCUGCAACAGAAAAUAAACAUUUUUUAAUAUGCAACCAUUUAUAUCCUCUGAACAAGAAACCCAUUUUACAACAAGUGGAGUACAACAAUGAGAUAACAAGCAUCAUGUACAAUGGACUUUUCAUAAACUUUACAACCCACAAAGUAGUGGACUGUUUGAAAAUUGGAGUGGGCUAUUGAAAGGUCUGCUUACUAAAUUCGGUGAUGCCCAUAAGGAUGAAGCUAUUUCCCGGCAGAAAUGCUUCCUUUGUUUGAAGCUGAAGAUCCAGAAUGGGUCCUGAUGAAUUUAGCAAGCAUUCAUUCUGGAAUCAUCUAUGUUAUGCUAAUCACAUCAGACAGCUUUUUGGAGAUAACAUAUGGAAACUCUUACCUCUCAAACACCUACAAAGGAUUUUGUUCAACAACAGAGCCAUGGAUGAUUAUGAAUUUCAAUAUCCUGAGACUGCACCAACUGAGUCCAGCUGGCCAGCAUUCAACUUCAGCGCAAACCUCAGAGUCAUCAGUCUUGGAUCAUCCAGACCUGUUCAUCUGCCAAAUGACUCUAAAGAGUGACCUCUAGCGGUGGCACGUGGAACUGAAGAAUUCCCUAAUCAAGCUCCACCUGAAUUCCUGAUCAGUAGAAUCCUAACACAUAAUAAAUUUGUUGUUGUUUAACGCCUCUGAGUUUUG